UGAAACAAAAAAUUAUURAAGAAAUCAUGGAAAAAAAGAAUUUGCCACAGUGUGAAGAUAGAGGUGCAAUAUGCUUGGACGUAAACACAAGGGAGUUGAAUGUAUAAGAUGAAUCAAGAUAACGAUGAUUCUGGAUUGGCUGAAGUUAUGUAGGUCCCCUCAUAAUCAAAUAUGAAAGCAUAAGGUUUUGAAUUGUCAUUAUGAAUGACUUCACUUUCAUCAAUAUUUAAUCCAUCAAUGUGUUUACAAUGAGCAAUUAUUGAUGAGGUUGAGCAUGAUAUUGUAAAUUAUCAAAACUGAGACUGUGUUAUCUGCCAUAGCCAUGGCUUCAUGCAUGCAUCAUCAUCAUCAUCAUCUUUGAGGGUCUUCAAGUUCCAAAGUAUUCACCGACUUGUCAAGACUGUUUUAAAGUGCACAGCAUUAGCAUAUGACAUGGAAAAACCUUCAUAACUUCGAGAAGCCGCACUCAAACUAUGUAAUUUUUUCGGGUUAUUCAACAUCUUACCCCAUGUAGAAUCAAUACUGAGAAUAUUGUCAGAAGGGUGAUAGGCACUUUAAAGACUGUACUAACUUUUUUGUCUUUCCACUUGUUUGUUUCUUUUUUAUUUCAUUUCUGAGGUUAAGAUAUUUAACAAUUACUCACUGAAGGCAAAGUGACUAUCAGUGGAGUAUUUACUGAGCCCCGAGUCUUCAAGAGGCGAGCAAUGUCAGAUUUCUUAAAAUUUUGCAUGAUGAAAUAUCAUAGAAGUAAAUGAAGCAGAUAAAAAAUGGGGGUUACCGAUUUCAUUAAGCCAUAUUUUACUGGAAAAUUAAUUGGUUGUAACCCAUCUUUCUGAUAACUUUAUAAAAUGACCCAAUAAUUGCUUUAGCAUUUAAACCUUAUGUUGGAAAUUAGAAAUAUAAAAUGGUACUGGGCUAUGUAUAUACAGAGAGAAAAAAAAAUACAGAGUUUUUAUGGAAGAAAAUUGUAAGUUCCUGGGGUAGGGGUGUUCUUUUACAAAUUCACUUCCUGGUGGUUAUGUACAUUUUCUGGCUCUACAAAUUGUAAAUACCAGGUAUAAAAAUAAUGUAAAGUUUAUUACAUUUGUCUACUUUUGAACUUUGACAUUCCUUGGUAUUUUAUUCUUCCUAUUAUUUCUUAAUUGGUUGAUUGUUAGGAUGGGCAUGGGGAUUUUACGGAGUUGGAAAUUGUUGCAAUGUACCUUUGAAGGUUACCCUGUGUCCUAUAUUGUGCAGCACCAGCCUGCGGGUAAAAUCUCAAAUAUUAAAUAAGUAAACUGAAAACUUAUUGCU